AUAUAAGUGUUGAAAGGGACUAGUAAAUAACGUUUUAACGAAAGAGAGUGGAAUUCAGUGGCUGAAAGAUUCCAUCGUGAAAAAACUUAUUGAACCUACCCUAGAGCUGUUAGGUUAAUCCCUAACCGUCACACCAACGUUAAAGGUGCUAAGAGGACAUCUUUUGAUGUCAAUUAAGGUGGUACCGCGGAUAAACUUUCCGUCCUUGUU
rnacentral:ncRNA from 1 species